rnacentral:rRNA from 1 species
UACGUAGGGGGCAAGCGUUAUCCGGAUUUACUGGGUGUAAAGGGAGCGUAGACGGCGAAGCAAGUCUGAAGUGAAAACCCAGGGCUCAACCCUGGGACUGCUUUGGAAACUGUUUUGCUAGAGUGUCGGAGAGGUAAGUGGAAUUCCUAGUGUAGCGGUGAAAUGCGUAGAUAUUAGGAGGAACACCAGCGGCGAAGGCGGCUUACUGGACGAUAACUGACGUUGAGGCUCGAAAGCGUGGGGAGCAAACAGG